GUUUACGGCCACACCGCCUGGUUCACGCCCCGAUCUCGUUUGAUCUCGGAAGCUAAGAUAAGGGUGGGCCUGGUUAGUACUUGAAUGGGAGACCGCCUGGGGAAUACCAGGUGCUGUAAGCU
rnacentral:rRNA from 1 species